UCUUUUUUAAUCCAGAAGGAUAAUGACGGUACCGUAAGAAUAAGCCCCGGCUAAUUACGUGCCAGCAGCCGCGGUAAUACGUAGGGGGCAAGCGUUUUUCGAAAUAAAAGAAAAUAAAAGCGUGCGCAGGCGGUUAUGUAAGUCAGUUGUAAAAUCCCGGGGCUCAACCUGGAAAAUGCAUUUGUGACUGCAUAUCUAGAGUCCGGUAGAGGGGGAUGGAAUUCCGCGUGUAGCAGUGAAAUGCGUAGAUAUGCGGAGGAACACCGAUGGCGAAGGCAAUCCCCGGGACCUGUACUGACGUUAAUGCACGAAAGCGUGGGGAGCAAACAGGAUUAGAUACCCUGGUAGUCCACGCCCUAAACGAUGUCAACU
rnacentral:rRNA from 1 species